rnacentral:tRNA from 1 species
AGAGCGCCAGAGCGCUUGGAAAGCCCUUCGCCAGAAACCGUGGUGAGCAGGUUGUGGUGGCCAAAGACCGGCGGUUCGGCACCGAGCGCCUUG